rnacentral:lncRNA from 1 species
GAUCCCCAGACCCAGCACUUUGUGGCUCACCACUAAGCUUCCUCCCCCUACUUAGAGAAGCUGCAUCUGAAAACCAGGGUAAAGAUACCUAAGGCUUGACUCCUCUCCCAGUGGGAGGAGGGGGGGGGGGUCUACGAGUAGGACUGGUUUGCAGAGUAGUCGAUGCCCAUGAUCCGUGGGGAGUUCUGGGCCAAGGCAAAUGGAGAAGGCUUUGGAUGGGGAAAAAGUGAGGGGGAUGGUAGCUUGGGCCAGGAAAGCUAUUUCAACAAAGCAAUGGAGUGAGACUACAUGGAUGAUGGGGAAAUGGUGGCUGGCUUCAUGAGAGGUGGGGCCAAGGUUCUUGAAUCCAGGUUAAAGUCCUCACCUUGAUGUGGCAGGGACCAAGGCAGGCAGGUGAAGGUUUCUGAACAGAGGGUUAAUUGAACCAGGAUUGGGUAUCUGGGAUUUGGAAGGUAAAUCCAGCAGCCACUGGAGAUCAGAGGAGAGACCUGGUCAGGGAGACAGGAAGGCAGAGAGAGCAACUCUAGGGACAGGAGAGAUUUCUGUUUUAUCCUCUGGGAUCAGGAAGUUCUAUUUCUGAAAUGAAAGAGAUCUCACCUAGCCCAGGCCUGGGGACUGAA